UACGAAGGGGGCUAGCGUUAUUCGGAUUUACUGGGCGUAAAGCGCACGUAGGCGGAUUGUUAAGUCGGGGGUGAAAUCCUGGAGCUCAACUCCAGAAUUGCCUUCGAUACUGGCUUUCUAGAGGCUGGAAGAGGUUAGUGGAAUUCCCAGUGUAGAGGUGAAAUUCGUAGAUAUUGGGAAGAACACCAGUGGCGAAGGCGGCUAACUGGUCCAGAUCUGACGCUGAGGUGCGAAAGCGUGGGGAGCAAACAGG
rnacentral:rRNA from 1 species